rnacentral:misc_RNA from 1 species
GGGAAUUGAAAAUCUCUUGUCACUUAUUUCUUGUGAUUACUCUGUGGGUGAGAUCUACUAGUGCCCGCCUCGACUUUCUUACUUCUUCAUCAUCAGUUUCAGGUAGUGAAUCAAUAGCUGCUGCAGCAAGNAUGCUUUGCAGCUAGCUCCCUUGUCCUAUGUAUUCCACGACUCUUCCCAAGGUACUCCAGCGCAAUAUCAACAUUUUCAGGAUUGUCAAAGCCCUGUUGAACAACUGCACGCAGUUGAGGGAACUCCUCUAUAGCAAACAAUA